rnacentral:rRNA from 1 species
UUUAUGGAGAGUUUGAUCCUGGCUCAGGAUGAACGCUGGCGGCGUGCCUAAUACAUGCAAGUCGAGCGAACGGACGAGAAGCUUGCUUCUCUGAUGUUAGCGGCGGACGGGUGAGUAACACGUGGAUAACCUACCUAUAAGACUGGGAUAACUUCGGGAAACCGGAGCUAAUACCGGAUAAUAUUUUGAACCGCAUGGUUCAAAAGUGAAAGACGGUCUUGCUGUCACUUAUAGAUGGAUCCGCGCUGCAUUAGCUAGUUGGUAAGGUAACGGCUUACCAAGGCAACGAUGCAUAGCCGACCUGAGAGGGUGAUCGGCCACACUGGAACUGAGACACGGUCCAGACUCCUACGGGAGGCAGCAGUAGGGAAUCUUCCGCAAUGGGCGAAAGCCUGACGGAGCAACGCCGCGUGAGUGAUGAAGGUCUUCGGAUCGUAAAACUCUGUUAUUAGGGAAGAACAUAUGUGUAAGUAACUGUGCACAUCUUGACGGUACCUAAUCAGAAAGCCACGGCUAACUACGUGCCAGCAGCCGCGGUAAUACGUAGGUGGCAAGCGUUAUCCGGAAUUAUUGGGCGUAAAGCGCGCGUAGGCGGUUUUUUAAGUCUGAUGUGAAAGCCCACGGCUCAACCGUGGAGGGUCAUUGGAAACUGGAAAACUUGAGUGCAGAAGAGGAAAGUGGAAUUCCAUGUGUAGCGGUGAAAUGCGCAGAGAUAUGGAGGAACACCAGUGGCGAAGGCGACUUUCUGGUCUGUAACUGACGCUGAUGUGCGAAAGCGUGGGGAUCAAACAGGAUUAGAUACCCUGGUAGUCCACGCCGUAAACGAUGAGUGCUAAGUGUUAGGGGGUUUCCGCCCCUUAGUGCUGCAGCUAACGCAUUAAGCACUCCGCCUGGGGAGUACGACCGCAAGGUUGAAACUCAAAGGAAUUGACGGGGACCCGCACAAGCGGUGGAGCAUGUGGUUUAAUUCGAAGCAACGCGAAGAACCUUACCAAAUCUUGACAUCCUUUGACAACUCUAGAGAUAGAGCCUUCCCCUUCGGGGGACAAAGUGACAGGUGGUGCAUGGUUGUCGUCAGCUCGUGUCGUGAGAUGUUGGGUUAAGUCCCGCAACGAGCGCAACCCUUAAGCUUAGUUGCCAUCAUUAAGUUGGGCACUCUAAGUUGACUGCCGGUGACAAACCGGAGGAAGGUGGGGAUGACGUCAAAUCAUCAUGCCCCUUAUGAUUUGGGCUACACACGUGCUACAAUGGACAAUACAAAGGGCAGCGAAACCGCGAGGUCAAGCAAAUCCCAUAAAGUUGUUCUCAGUUCGGAUUGUAGUCUGCAACUCGACUACAUGAAGCUGGAAUCGCUAGUAAUCGUAGAUCAGCAUGCUACGGUGAAUACGUUCCCGGGUCUUGUACACACCGCCCGUCACACCACGAGAGUUUGUAACACCCGAAGCCGGUGGAGUAACCUUUUAGGAGCUA